AGUGAACAAUUCAACGGCCGCGGUACCCUAACCGUGCAAAGGUAGCAUAAUCAUUUGUCUAUUAAUUGUAGACCAGUAUGAAAGGCAAUAUGAGGGUCUAACUGUCUCUUAUAAUAAAUCAAUUAAACUGAUCUUCUAGUAAAAAAGCUAGAAUCCCGCCAUAAGACCAGAAGACCCUGUGAAGCUUAAACUAAACUAUUAAAACAAAUAAUAGCUAUUUUCGGUUGGGGCGACCUUGGAAAAAAAAAGAACUUCCAACAUACCAAUAACCAAACCACAGGCCCACAAGCCACACACUAAUGACCCAGCAAAGCUGAUCAUUGAACCAAGUUACUCCAGGGAUAACAGCGCUAUCUUCUUCAAGAGCCCAUAUCAAAAAGAAGGUUUACGACCUCGAUGUUGGAUCAGGACAUCCUAA
rnacentral:rRNA from 1 species